GUGGGGAAUUGUUCACAAUGGGCGCAAGCCUGAUGACGCAACGCCGCGUGGAGGAUGAAGGUCUUCGGAUUGUAAACUCCUGUUGCUCGGGACGAAAAGCUCUGACCUAACACGUCAGAGUCUGACGGUACCGAGUGAGGAAGCCCCGGCUAACUCUGUGCCAGCAGCCGCGGUAAUACAGAGGGGGCAAGCGUUGUUCGGAAUUACUGGGCGUAAAGGGCGCGUAGGCGGCCUUCUAAGUCAGACGUGAAAUCCCCGGGCUCAACCCGGGAACUGCGUCUGAUACUGGAGGGCUUGAAUCCGGGAGAGGGAUGCGGAAUUCCAGGUGUAGCGGUGAAAUGCGUAGAUAUCUGGAGGAACACCGGUGGCGAAGGCGGCAUCCUGGACCGGUAUUGACGCUGAGGCGCGAAAGCCAGGGGAGCAAACGGGAUUAGAAACCCUUGUAGUCC
rnacentral:rRNA from 1 species